AUGGGGUAUGGCUGCAGGGGAGGGGACGCGGCCGACAACAGGAAGAAGGAGCAGGUCAUCGAGGACUACAAGCAGGAGGUUUCCUUUGACUGGAAGUCUGAAACUGAAGAUAGGGCAUAUUGUUUUGGUUCUGAGUGGCCGGAGAUAUUGUGGCUUGAUGUCCCUAGAGCAGUCGGACCCUUCCAAGAUAGGGUCGAACUGCGUUAUAUUUCUUCCAUUGAGGCGAGGGUGAUUCCAGUAGAUUUUGCUUGGCGUAUUCGCAUUUUUUUAUUGAAGUUGGGUGUCCGUCUUCUCUGCCGCAAGGUGAGCUUAUCCCAUUUACUUUGUUCAAUCCAGAGUCAAGAUUCAUAUCCCCUUCACUGUCAUUUCAUUUGUGAGAAUUUAUUCCAUUGA
rnacentral:rRNA from 1 species